AGGGGCAGCAUUUCAGUUUGCUUGCAAACUGGAGAUGGCGACCGGCGCACGGGUGAGUAACACGUAUCCAACCUGCCGAUAACUCGGGGAUAGCCUUUCGAAAGAAAGAUUAAUACCCGAUGGCAUAAUUAGACCGCAUGGUCUUAUUAUUAAAGAAUUUCGGUUAUCGAUGGGGAUGCGUUCCAUUAGGCAGUUGGUGAGGUAACGGCUCACCAAACCUUCGAUGGAUAGGGGUUCUGAGAGGAAGGUCCCCCACAUUGGAACUGAGACACGGUCCAAACUCCUACGGGAGGCAGCAGUGAGGAAUAUUGGUCAAUGGGCGCAGGCCUGAACCAGCCAAGUAGCGUGAAGGAUGACUGCCCUAUGGGUUGUAAACUUCUUUUAUAUGGGAAUAAAGUUUUCCACGUGUGGAAUUUUGUAUGUACCAUAUGAAU
rnacentral:rRNA from 1 species